rnacentral:sRNA from 21 species
CUCAUAUGUGUAAAUAACACACACGUGUCGACACAUACACCGGGGUGCCCUAAAGUUUUUGAUUGUUAUCAAUCGCUUAUGGGGUCGGUGUUAUGGGACACGUGGAGGC